rnacentral:lncRNA from 1 species
UUGCUGUAUCUAUGGGGCUGUAUCUAUGGGGUUUUGCUGUAUCUAUGGGGCUGUAUCUAUGGGCUGUAUCUAUGGGGUUUUUGUGUCUCUAUGGGGCUGGUUAUGGGGUUUAUCUAUGGGGUAUUAUUGUCUCUAUGGGGCUGUAUCUAUGGGGCUGGUUAUGGGGUAUUAUUGUCUCUAUGGGGCUGUAUCUAUGGGGUGUAUCUAUGGGGCUGUAUCUAUGGGGCUGGUUAUGGGUUUUGCUGUAUAUCUAUGGGGUUUUGCUGUCUCUAUGGGGCUGUAUCUAUGGGGCUGUAUCUAUGGGGCUGUAUCUAUGGGGCUGGUUAUGGGGUAUUAUUGUCUCUAUGGGGUUUUGCUGUAUCUAUGGGGCUGGUUAUGGGGUUUGCUGUAUAUCUAUGGGGUUUUGCUGUAUAUCUAUGGGGUAUUAUUGUCUCUAUGGGGCUGGUUAUGGGGUAUUAUUGUCUCUAUGGGGCUGUAUCUAUGGGGUUUUAUUGUCUCUAUGGGGCUGGUUAUGGGGUUUAUCUAUGGGGUAUUAUUGUCUCUAUGGGGCAGACAUCGACGAAUGUUCCCGUGCCGACGUUUGUGGGGACGGCGGCAGCUGCACCAACAUCCCGGGACAUUUCAGCUGUGAAU